GCAGCUCCUGUGUAUUUCAGCGGCAGCUAGGCUUUACAAUCUUUAAGUGUCUCUGUCUCUAGCUGAGGAUUUCCUGUCUGUGGAAGGAUUUUCUUCUCUCUCUUUCUGACCAAAGCAGAGAGAGGAGGAGAAGGACAGAUAGUAAGAGGAGAGGAAAACAGGAGAAGGAAGAGCGACAGUGGGCCGGGAGUGACCUUCGUGGUGUGGUGGCAAAGCAGAGGAGGAGGAACGGGACUAAGCGGAGGAUCCAUCAGGUGCAUUUUCCCUCUUUGAGGAGCAGUGAUAUGGACACCAGGUGUGGUGACGCUAAGAUGUCUGGACUGUUUUCAAGGAGCUGUUGCUGGGUUGGUGGUGGCCAAUUCCCAAAAGUCUGCUGCUGCAAAAAAAAAAAAAAAAAAAGAAAAAGGAAAAAUGAAUGACCCAAGAAAACCCAGAGGAAGGGGGAAAAAGUGUCAUGAAGGCACCUUUUGCAAAAAAUCUGAGCCUGCUUUUGAAAAAUUAGUUCUGGAUGCUAACAUUACACUUUAUACUGACCCAGGUUAUUUAGCUGGUGCCAAUUUGAAUAUAGUUUCAAUCAGAC
ensembl:lncRNA